rnacentral:rRNA from 1 species
UACGUAGGGGGCAAGCGUUAUCCGGAUUCACUGGGUGUAAAGGGAGCGCAGGCGGCUUUGCAAGUCUGAUGUGAAAGGCCGGGGCUCAACCCCGGGACUGCAUUGGAAACUGUAAAGCUAGAGUGCCGGAGAGGUAAGCGGAAUUCCUAGUGUAGCGGUGAAGUGCGUAGAUAUUAGGAGGAACACCAGUGGCGAAGGCGGCUUACUGGACGGCAACUGACGCUGAGGCUCGAAAGCGUGGGGAGCAAACAGG